rnacentral:rRNA from 1 species
CGGUGAUCCUAAUCAAACCUCCAAGAAAAACCUCUAAGGCUAGGCUAAAACUGCCCGUACCGUAAACCGACACAGGUAGUCGAGAUGAGUAUUCUAAGGCGCUCGGGUGAGCCGCGGAGAAGGAACUAGGCAAAUUAACGCUGUAACUUCGGGAUAAAGCGUACCGUCUUUGACGGUCUCAGUAAAUUGGUUCAACCAACUGUUUAGCAAAAACACAGGGCCCUGCAAAAUCGUAAGAUGACGUAUAGAGCCUGAUACCUGCCCGGUGCUGGAAGGUUAAGGAAGGAUGUUCGGCGCAAGCCAAAGCUUUCGACUGAAGCCCCAGUAAACGGCGGCCGUAACAAUAACGGUCCUAAGGUAGCGAAAUUCCUUGUCGGGUAAGUUCCGACCUGCACGAAUGGUCUAAUGAGUUGAACACUGUCUCCUCCGCGAGCCCGGUGAAAUUGUAGUAUCGGUGAAGAUGCCGGUUACCCGCCACGGGACGAAAAGACCCCGUGAACCUUCACUACAGCUUUGCAUUGAUUUUGAGUAACAGAUGUGUAGAAUAGUUGGGACGCUACGAAGCCAUGCCGCCAGGUGUGGUGGAGCGGUCGUUGAAAUACCAACCUUCUGUUACUUAGAGUCUAAUCCCGAAAGGGAGACAUUGCAUGGUGGGUAGUUUGACUGGGGUGGUCGCCUCCUAAAAAGUAACGGAGGCUCGCAAAGGUGCCCUCAGCAUGGUUGGUAAUCAUGCGUAGAGCGUAUUAGUAUAAGGGCGCUUGACUGUGAGACUGACAAGUCGAGCAGGUGCGAAAGCAGGCUAAAGUGAUCCGGUGGUUCCGCAUGGAAGGGCCAUCGCUCAAAGGAUAAAAGGUACUCCCGGAUAACAGGCUGAUCUCCCCCAAGAGCUCAUAUCGACGGGGAGGUUUGGCACCUCGAUGUCGGUUCGUCACAUCCUGGGGCUGGAGAAGGUCCCAAGGGUUCGGCUGUUCGCCGAUUAAAGUGGCACGUGAACUGGGUUCAGAACGUCGCAAGACAGUUCGGUCUCUAUCUGUGGUGGGCGUUAGUAAAUUGAGAAGACAUGACCUUAGUACGAGAGGACCGGGUCGUACACACCGCUGGUGUAUCUGUUGUGCCGCCAGGUGCAGUGCAGAGUAGCUAUGUGUGGCAAGGAUAAGCGCUGAAAGCAUCUAAGCGCGAAACCUUCUUCAAGAUGAGUUUACUUUUAAGGGUCGUAGUAGACGACUACGUUGAUAGGCUAUAGGUGUAAAGCUAGUAAUAGCAAAGCCGAGUAGUACUAAUUGCCCGUAAGCUUUUAU